AGCGAACGCUGGCGGCAGGCCUAACACAUGCAAGUCGAACGAAGUCUUCGGACUUAGUGGCGGACGGGUGAGUAACACGUGGGAACGUGCCUUUAGGUUCGGAAUAACUCAGGGAAACUUGUGCUAAUACCGAAUGUGCCCUUCGGGGGAAAGAUUUAUCGCCUUUAGAGCGGCCCGCGUCUGAUUAGCUAGUUGGUGAGGUAAAGGCUCACCAUGGCUACGAUCAGUAGCUGGUCUGAGAGGAUGACCAGCCACAUUGGGACUGAGACACGGCCCAAACUCCUACGGGAGGCAGCAGUGGGGAAUCUUGCGCAAUGGGCGAAAGCCUGACGCAGCCAUGCCGCGUGGAUGAUGAAGGUCUUAGGAUUGUAAAAUCCUUUCACCGGUGAAGAUAAUGACUGUAGCCGGAGAAGAAGCCCCGGCUAACUUCGUGCCAGCAGCCGCCUAAUAC
rnacentral:rRNA from 1 species